rnacentral:tRNA from 1 species
GGAUCCGUGGCGCAAUGGUAGCGUGUCUGACUCCAUUUCAAAAGGUUGCGUGUUUGAUUCUUGUUGGGUUCA